UACAGAGGUCUCAAGCGUUGUUCGGAUUCAUUGGGCGUAAAGGGUGUGUAGGUGGCGCCGUAAGUCGGGUGUGAAAUUUCGGAGCUUAACUCCGAAACUGCAUUCGAUACUGCGGUGUCUUGAGGACUGGGAGAGGAGUACUGGAAUUCGAUGGUGUAGCAGUGAAAUGCGUAGAGAUCAUGAGGAAGACCAGUGGCGAAGGCGGGUCUCUGGACAGUUCCUGACACUGAGACGAAGGCCAGGGGAGCAAACGGG
rnacentral:rRNA from 1 species